UUUCCACUCCAAAGAUUGGCCAGUCAUUGACGAAGACUACCAAAUCAAACCAUUGAAGAACGAAACGCAGAACUGUAUUAAGAGAGAGAGAGAUUGGGGCAAAGUUGAAGAUUAACCUCUACAGCUGAGAGGAGGAGCUCAAGUGGAGUUUCCUAAUUUAUAGUCUCAGUUACCUUCGAUGGAUCCAACAGCAGAUGAGCAGUUGGACUAUGGUGAUGAGGAAUAUGGAGGAAGCCACAAGAUGCAGUACCAUGGAAGUGGGACAAUUCCUGCUCUAGCAGAGGAUGAAAUGAUGGGUGAAGAUGAUGAAUAUGAUGAUCUUUACAAUGAUGUUAACAUUGGGGAAGGUUUCCUACAGCUGCAGCGGUCAGAGGUUCCAGUUCCUUCUGUUGAUGCGGGAAAUGGGAAUUUUCAAGCCCAGAAAGAUAGUUUUCCUGCCUCAAGGGCUGGUGGUUUAGGAUCAGAGGAGGCGAAAAUCCCUGGUAUUGCAACAGAAGGGAAGUAUGCUGGCGCUGAAGUCCAAUUUCCCCAGCAAAAGGGUGGGCCUGUAGUUGAAAGGGAAACUGAACGACCUGCUGAUGCUGCACAAAAAGCAAGGCCUUCAGCAAUUACAAUGACUCUCAAUUCUCAAGCGGGGAACUCUGGUUACCAAGGAUCCAUGCCAAUGCCCCAGAAAAUUGGUGCUGAUCCUAUGGCUAUGCCAGAAAAAAAUGCCAGUGAAGCUACACCAUUGAUGAAUUCUGUUGUGGCUGGACCAAGAGUUGUUCCGCACAUGCCAACUAAUCAAUUGAACUCAAGUGGGAAUGUUAACAUGAAUAAUCCAGUUAUUAGUGAGACUCCUUUUAGGCCAUCUCUGGAGAAUGGCAACACCAUGCUCUUUGUUGGAGAAUUGCACUGGUGGACUACUGAUGCUGAGCUUGAGAGUGUGCUAACUCAAUAUGGGAAUGUAAAGGAGAUCAAGUUCUUUGAUGAGAGAGCUAGUGGCAAGUCUAAAGGCUAUUGUCAAGUUGAGUUUUUUGACCCAGCUUCUGCAGCUGCUUGCAAAGAAGGAAUGAAUGGUUAUAAUUUCAAUGGGCGAGCCUGUGUUGUCGCAUUUGCAACUCCACAAACUAUAAAACAGAUGGGUUCCUCAUAUGCGAACAAAACUCAAAACCAGGUGCAGUCUCAACCACAGGGGCGGAGACCCAUGAAUGAGGGAGUUGGUAGAGGUGGGCCAAAUUACACCCCUGGAGAUGCUGGGAGGAAUUUCGGAAGAGGUAGUUGGGGGCGUGGAGGGCCAGGUAUGCCUAACAGAGGACCUGGGGGUGGACCAGUGAGGGGAAGAGGAGCCAUGGGAUCGAAGAAUAUGAUGGUGAAUCCUGGAGCUGGCAAUGGUGCUGGUGGAGCUUUUGGGCAAGGACUUGCAGGUCCAGCAUUUGGUGGUCCUCCUGCAGGUCUAAUGCAUCCCCAGGGCAUGAUGGGUCCUGGUUUUGAUCCCAGUUUUAUGGGUCGAGGAGCUGGUUAUGGAGGAUUUUCAGGUCCUGCAUUUCCCGGGAUGAUGCCUCCAUUUCCAGCUGUUAAUCCUAUGGGUCUUCCUGGAGUGGCUCCUCAUGUCAACCCUGCAUUCUUUGGUCGAGGAAUGGCUGCAAAUGGAAUGGGAAUGAUGAGUGCUGCUGGGAUGGAUGGGCCUCAUCCAGGAAUGUGGACUGACACAAGCGGGGGAGGAUGGGGAGGAGAAGAACAUGGCAGGAGAACUAGAGAGUCCAGUUAUGGGGGUGAAGAUAAUGCAUCAGAGUAUGGCUAUGGAGAGGUUAGCCAUGAUAAAGGAGCCAGGUCAAGUGCUGUGUCCAGGGAAAAGGAACGGGGUUCUGAGCGUGACUGGUCAGGCAACUCUGACAGGCGGCAUCGUGAUGAAAGAGAACAUGACAGAGAUAGGCAUGAUAAAGAGCACAGAUACAGGGAAGAAAGGGAUGGUUACCGGGACUAUCGUCAAAAGGAGCGUGAAUCAGAGUAUGAGGAAGACUAUGACCGUGGACAGUCUUCUUCAAGAUCCCGUAGCAAAUCCCGAGCAGCUCAGGAGGAGGAUCAUAGGUCUAGAUCAAGAGACACAAAUUAUGGGAAACGUAGACGCGCACCUUCUGAAUGAUCUCAUCUAUGCUGCCGUGCAUCUAUUUUCCAAGUCUUUUAUAGGACUACAGGCGCAAUUAUUAACCUUUGGUGAUGUCCUUCCUUCAGCUACUUGUAUGCAGUGGCGUUCUUCCUGUUUUGUGUUGGUGCUGAUAUUCUGUGGUUUCAGGACUUAAAGAAGGAGCCGCGAGGCAACUCUCUGUUUUUCGUGACUAAAUCAGCAUAAUUUGGUUAUCUGGAGGAAGAUGAGUUAAAUUGGACAAUUGUUUGAAAAUGCUAGUCUCUGCCUAGUGCCCUAGUGCGCCUGCGAUGUUUGUCUGUAAUUUUGUUUUCUUUAGCAUAUAACAUCGUGGGCAUCCAAUUUAGAUAGGGAUGCAUCAGCAGGCCCACCAGUCUUUUAAAGCUCUACUGUGAGCUAUGUAUUGUAGAUAUGUAGUAGGUUCCAUCAUGUGUAAUGUUUCAUACACGUAUUUUUUGCUCUUUUUUGAGCUUUGUAAAGAUCUUGUACCAAGUCUGCUGAGCACUUUGUCCUGUAGAUUUCAGUAUGGUGGGUUUGUACAUAGUAAUGCUAGUCUAGGUUAGUUGUGGUCGGUUAGAAGCUUUUGUAUGGUGCUGUAAUCCAAAAUAUAGGUGAUUGCUGUAACAUCUGGAGGAGUUGGCUUAUUAUUCAUCGCAGAUACAGAUUGCAUCUGUGGGAACCUCCCUGUAGGCCUGUAAAAACAUUUUUGUUGUUAGAUCAUACACCAAGUGUAAAUUUCUGUUGUAAUAUCUGAUAAUUUGAUCGGCUCUGCUUUUUUGUAA